rnacentral:rRNA from 1 species
CCUACGGGAGGCUGCAGUGAGGAAUAUUGGUCAAUGGACGCAAGCCUGAACCAGCCAUGUAGCGUGCAGGAUGACUGCCCUACGGGUUGUAAACUUCUUUUAUACGAGAAUAAACUGAGACACGUGUGCCUGUUUGUAAGUAUUGUAUGAAUAAGGAUCGGCUAACUCCGUGCCAGCAGCCGCGGUAAUACGGAGGAUUCGAGCGUUAUCCGGAUUUAUUGGGUUUAAAGGGUGCGUAGGUGGUCUGUUAAGUUAGAUGUGAAAUCCUGAGGCUCAACUUGAAAAUUGCAUUUGAUACUGUUCGGCUAGAGAGUAGUUGCGGUAGGCGGAAUGUAUGGUGUAGCGGUGAAAUGCUUAGAGAUCAUAAAGAACCCCGAUUGCGAAGGCAGCUUACCAAGCUACCUCGGACGUUGAGGCACGAAGGCGUGGGGAGCAAACAGGAUUAGAUACCCGUGUAGUC